UACGGAGGGUGCAAGCGUUGUUCGGAUUUAUUGGGCGUAAAGCGCGUGUAGGCGGUUUCUUAAGUCUGAUGUGAAAGCCCUGGGCUCAACCCAGGAAGUGCAUUGGAUACUGGGAGACUUGAACACGGGAGAGGGUAGUGGAAUUCCUAGUGUAGGAGUGAAAUCCGUAGAUAUUAGGAGGAACACCGGUGGCGAAGGCGGCUACCUGGACCGAUAUUGACGCUGAGACGCGAAAGCGUGGGGAGCAAACAGG
rnacentral:rRNA from 1 species